GCAGCUCCUCAGGUGCCUGUCAGGAACCUGGGCGGGAUUCCUGCCUCCUUCUUGCUCACCCCCCACCCUCGGGUCAGCCCCUGCUGCCCUUUCCUGCGCCCCCACACUAGCGCGGGAGGCGGCGGCUGUCACAGUGGUCGGUGGGCGCCCCUUCCUCCAAGCUGCCCUCCACCCCGCCUCUGAGGAUGAGGGGCACCUUCUGUCCAUCUCCGCUCACCUGUCACUGCCGGCUGUCGAGGGCCACUGUUCUCCGUGUGAAUGGAUAGAGCUGGCUGAUUUCACACUUUUGCCCCACCGUCCGUCUCCCCUGGAUCCGUGGAUUAGCAUAUUAGAAUAUUCUCCCCACUGGGAGGAACAGGGCUGAGGAGGGAGCGCCCCAACACCAGCGCAAGCCGGGGUCCCCUCGUCGUGGGCUCUGUCUUCCUGUGGACCAACGCCUGGCUGAUGGGUUCACGGCGCCUCUGAUGCACGGGCUGUUCUUGCUCAUAAGGAUGGACCGACGUCAGCUGACCUGCAUGUUCCUUCUCAGGUCUAGGGGGUGCGGGGUGGGGGCGGUCAUGGUGUGGCCUUCCCCAGCCCCUUUGCUGCUGGGCAGGCAGGGCCAGAGGUGGAGAUGAUUACCUGGGGCCCACCAGAGGGCGCUCCUUUCCCAGUGGCCGCCCCACACUCACUCCUGAGGCCCUGGCCUUCCCCAGGCCUCUCUCCCACUCACCCUCCUGACCCUCAGUCAGAGUAGGGCUCCACCUCCUACAGAUCCCAAAACAGAUCUUAGGGGAUCAGCACUGUGGUGUAGCCGGUAAACCCGCCAUGUGCAGGGCCGGCAACCCAUAGGAGCAUUGGUUCAAGUCCCGGCUGCUCCUCUUCUGAUCCAGCUCCCUGCUAAUGCACCUGGGAGAGCAGUAGAAGAUGGCCCCAGUCCUUGGGCCCCUGCACCCAUGUGAAGAGACCUGGAAGAAUCUCCUGGCUCCUGGCUUCAGAUUGGCCCAGCUCUGGUAGUUGCAGCCAUUUGGGGGAAUGAACCAGUGGAUGGAAGAUCUCUUUCUAUCUCUAUGUCUCCUCUCUGUGUAACUCUGUCAAAUAAAUAUUAAAAAAAAAAAAAAAAGCCCCCGACCUCAGAGAGCUCCUGAGAAGUGUGUGGGGUGGGCGUCUGGCCAGCAAGGACAGCUACAUCCGGUACUCGGGUGCUGAGAGUCCAGGCUCUACCCCUGCUGGCCUCAGUUGCUCGGCCCUUCCAGGGGACCUGUCCACGGCGUCGGAGGUGGUGGGGAGUAGGAAGAUGGACCUGGCCUGGGUGUUUGGGUUUGGAGGUGAUUUUGGGGUGCUGGGUAGCCAGGGGAGCUGCCUCACAGGGACCACUGCCUCUUCCUAAUGGCCCAGCAUAGGAGGAAAGGCAGGAGUCUGGGGCCAGAAGCCUGGCCUGCUGCUGGCCCGUGCGUGGGGGCGGGGGCGGUGUACACCCGCACACACUCAGGCACACCUACCUCCCCCUCCCAG